GUUGUAAAGGGCAGGGCUGAGUGAGACUGCACUCCAGUCCGAGGGGGGCUGGGAGAGGCUGGCCGUCCAACCUGGCCUCGAUCUCAGGGCUGCGGGACCUGGCUGCCUGGCCUCAUCCAGGGCCCACCUGCUUAGGUCCUGGGUGGAGGAUGACUCCCUAGAAAUGUUCCAACUGCCCUUCAGGACGAGCUCCUGAAUACACGGAUGGACGGCGGCCAGACACCAGGACAGAACCCGACCCACAAACUGCAGCCACAGCCCAGGAGGAAGCCCGCUGUCUCCACGGCAGACCUGCGGGAAGUCGGACCUCGCUCUCUGAUGCACAACCACCCUGGGACAGUGUCCCACAUGGCCGGGGCUGGAUGACGGCUUCCACGGUUGCUGUUGCCACGUCCACCUGAGGACCAACCAGAAAGCCGAGCGCACUCCCCAAGCGAUCACGCGGGCUGUCCCACUUCCCCAGGCCCCCAGCCCCUCCCCGGGGGGCCCCUGAGCCCCCCUUUUUCCUACAACGAAGCUUUCUAUACAUAGAAAAUACUUUCACAUAUUAACAUAUACAUGCUACAGAACCCAUGUACUACACGUAUACAUCGUAUACACAUAGAUAUUAUAUGUACUACAUAGUGAUAAUUAACGCAUGUAUUCUAUACUACGUACAUAGGCUGCACAUGUACGUUAAUGUGCAUAAUAUGACACAUGCCCAGCAAGCACAUAUCGUGUAACGUGUACGUACUACGUGAAUACCUCAUACGUGUGCACAUGAUAUUACACAUACAUGGCAACAAUUAUAUAUAAGAAGUACAGAUGUGGGGCGCCUGGCUGGCUCAGUCAGAGGAGCCUCUGGCUCUUGAUUUCAGUUAAGGUGGUGAGUUCGAGCUCCACAUUGUGUGUAGAAAUUACUUACAUAAAUAAUUUUAAUAAUAAUAAAUAAUUAUACAAUAAAAAUUUUAAAUACAGUAAUUUUUAAAAACGAAUGCUUAAAAAAUAUGCACCGCACGCAUACAUUGUACACGCACGUCCACACUAACAGCGAACAUAUAUACAUGGAACUAAAAUACGAAGUGCUCCCACCCUCCGGCCUGCCUCGAGUCUGACAAACGCCAGUGGUGACCGACUCUUUGCCUGAAGCGGCUCAGAAUAAACAGCUCGUUCCCA